rnacentral:misc_RNA from 1 species
AACUUUCAGCAAUGGAUCACUUGGCAUUCCACUCGAUGAAGAACGUAGCGAAUUGCGAUAAGUAAUGUGACUUGCAGAAUACAGUGAAUCAUCGAAUCUUUGAACGCACCUUGCACUCUCUAGUAUUCUGGAGAGUAUGCCCGGUUGAGUGUUUUGAAUUUCUCAAGCCCAGGUCGGUUGUCUACGACCUUCUCUGGACCUUGGUAUUGAGCGUCUGACGGGAGUCUCUCUCGACUCGCUCGAAUUGCAUUAGCAGAUUCUCGUGAACUGACGGGCGUAAUAAGUCACUGUUCGCCUGGUUGACACGAGCUGGUCCGCUCCUAAUAGUCCCCUUGGGACACAACCGUGAUUUUUACACCUCAACUCGGGUAGGACUACCCGCUGAACUUAAGCAUAUCAAUAAGCGGAGGCU